CUUUUUUGUAUGUGUGUGAGAUAGAUUGGCCCUGAGCUAACAUCUGUUGCCAAUCUUCCUCUUUUUUUUUCCCCCCAAAGCCCCAGUACGUAGUUGUAUACCCUAGCUGAAGGUCACUCUAGUUCCUUUAUUGAGAUGCCACCACAGCAUGGCUUGAUGACAGGUGUGUACGUCUGCUCCCAGGAUCCUAACGGGUGAACCCUGGGCCACAGAAGCAAAGUGCACAAACUUAACCACUUGGCCACGGGUGGCCUCUAUUUUCCACAUAUUACCAUCUCUCAUAUCAAGAUGUAUUUCAGUGGACAGAGUCUUAGUGUUGCAUUAUAGUUUAAUUGGAAGCAUUUUUCUUUCUUGGUGAUGCAUAAAAUAAUGGUGCAUCUUACAAUCAAUGGCAUCUUAGAUGUGAUGAAAUAUGGAUAGAUGGCCAGUCCUUCACAGUAGACCCAAUCUUCACCCUUUCCCUUUUUCCGUUCCUCGCCCUUUUUCUGCUCUGCUUUGUAGAGAAGCGGGUUCUGACUCGAUAGACUGUAUUCUCAGGCUUCCUGGUUCCGGAGCUUCCAGCUAAGCUCAGCCAAUGGGAGACAGCAAUGGGAGCCGCCCCUUUCCCAGCCACUCCAUCUCGCCCCCUUGAGUAGCAUCUCUGGCAGUAGCUGGUUCUCCCUCUGCGUCAUUAGGGGAUCCCAGCCACUGGGCUCCUGUAACAUAGCCCCCUUCCAGGAAGUAUCUAGUCUCUAGCCUAGUGGUGGUGACUGAUGGCUACUUGCUGCUGCUAAUCUCUGAGUUGCCUCACCACCUCUGUUUAGCUUUUCAACAGUUCAACUCCCCGUUGUAGCCAAUCCUCUAAAUGAAAUUCUCCUCUACUUUAAAUACUUAGAUGGAGUUCUGUUUACUGGGUGGGCUCUGCCUGACACUACUGGCCUUCAAACCUAGAUUUGCACUUCCUAGCACAUACCACAGCCUAUCAGCUCUCAGAUUCUAAAAAGAGGAACGACAUAGUAAAUAAAGAAAUGUCAUGGUGGUUUCUUAUCAGGAAGCCAUAGACUCAUUGAGAGCCAGCAGAAUUAUUGCAAAGGAUACAGGAAUCCACUUGUGCACCAAGCAUUGUCAGGAAAUUGACUAAAUAUCUUUCAGACAAUGCAUUCCUAAAUGAUACUAUCAGAAAGCCGGAUAUUUCCUCUAGUACAAGAGGUAAACCUGUGGCCAAGCAAAGCCCACCUGAAGGAAGGGGACAAAGGUUGUUUUCUACUAGUUUAGCAAUCCCAGAAGAAAGAGAGAUGAUCUUUUCCAAUGGUUCUAACAAGUAACUCAAGUCAAUGAGGACACAGUGAGCGGACAGCAGUCAGAAAGCAGCCCUCACCAGCCAGUGAAUCUGCCGGCAUCUUCAUCUUGGACUUCCCAGCCUCUAGAACUUGCAGGACUGACAAGGAACACAACCAGUUCUGCCACAAAAGGCCCAUAAAUAUUCAACAUAGAGGAGGACUAAUUUACAAAGAUGAUACCACUUUAUCAUGAUGGGGCGGGUACUAUGUUAAGUUUACCGUGAAACCCAUCUUUGCUUAGUCAAACCCAA
rnacentral:lncRNA from 1 species